rnacentral:rRNA from 1 species
GUGCCAGCCGCCGCGGUAAUACAGAGAGUGCAAACGUUGUUCGGAAUUACUGGGCUUAAAGCGCACGUAGGCGGCGCCGCAAGUGUGGGGUGAAAGCCCACGGCUUACCCGUGGAAUUGCCUGGCAGACUGCGGUGCUAGAGGAUGGUAGGGGAGAGCGGAACUCCUGGUGGAGCGGUGAAAUGCGUAGAUAUCAGGAGGAACACCGGUGGCGAAGGCGGCUCUCUGGUCCAUGACUGACGCUGAGGUGCGAAAGCUAGGGGAGCAAACGGGAUUAGAAACCCCAGUAGUCC